AGUGAACGCUGGCGGUAGGCCUAACACAUGCAAGUCGAACGGCAGCACAGUAAGAGCUUGCUCUUACGGGUGGCGAGUGGCGGACGGGUGAGGAAUACAUCGGAAUCUACUUUUUCGUGGGGGAUAACGUAGGGAAACCUACGCUAAUACCGCAUACGACCUACGGGUGAAAGCAGGGGAUCUUCGGACCUUGCGCGAUUGAAUGAGCCGAUGUCGGAUUAGCUAGUUGGCGGGGUAAAGGCCCACCAAGGCGACGAUCCGUAGCUGGUCUGAGAGGAUGAUCAGCCACCCUGGAACUAGGACACGGUCCAGACUCCUACGGGAGGCAGCAGUGGGGAAUAUUGGACAAUGGGCGCAAGCCUGAUCCAGCCAUACCGCGUGGGUGAAGAAGGCCUUCGGGUUGUAAAGACCUUUUGUUGGGAAAGAAAAGCAGCAGGUUAAUACCCCGCUGUUCUGACGGUACCCAAAAAAUAAGCACCGGCUAACUUCGUG
rnacentral:rRNA from 1 species